GACGAACGCUGGCGGCGUGCUUAACACAUGCAAGUCGAACGGAAAGGCCCUGCUUUUGUGGGGUGCUCGAGUGGCGAACGGGUGAGUAACACGUGAGUAACCUGCCCUUGACUUUGGGAUAACUUCAGGAAACUGGGGCUAAUACCGGAUUGGAGCUCCUGCUGCAUGGUGGGGGUUGGAAAGUUUCGGCGGUUGGGGAUGGACUCGCGGCUUAUCAGCUUGUUGGUGGGGUAGUGGCUUACCAAGGCUUUGACGGGUAGCCGGCCUGAGAGGGUGACCGGCCACAUUGGGACUGGGAUACGGCCCGGACUCCUACGGGAGGAAGCAGUGGGGAAUAUUGCACAAUGGGCGGAAGCCUGAUGCAGCAACGCCGCGUGCGGGAUGACGGCCUUCGGGUUGUAAACCGCUUUCGCCUGUGACGAAGCGUGAGUGACGGUAAUGGGUAAAGAAGCACCGGCUAACUACGU
rnacentral:rRNA from 1 species